GGUCGACGCGCUAACCACUGGACCGCCGGGCCGCCAUGUUAAUCCAUCCAUCCAUUUUUAUAGUGCUUGGCAUGAUUAGCAUCACCAGGUCACAGGAGCUUACCCCAGAUGCUGCGUACAUCCUGGACUGUUUGCCCUCCAGUCGCUGGGUACAUACUGGGCAGACAACCAACCAUUCAAAAAUUCCCACGUAUGGGCAAUUUGGAGUCUUCAAUUAACCUAAGAAGCACAAAACGACCUCAAAUUCCAAGUGAUGAUCCAUAUAGUAUGAUUUGGUUCUUACUGAUGUGAAUGUGAGUCGGUUCACUUCAUAUCACUUCCAGUGCAAAUUGUUCCUCUCUUUGUAUGUUGUUUGAACAAUUUUUGGCUGUCCCUUCAUGAGGGAUAAAUGUCAUAAUAAAGACACAGAGAGCAUACACACCUAUGGCGAUGGUUCGAAAUAUUUUGGGUGUAACUUUGGAAAUGUACUAGUCCUCAAAAUUCAUUCUGAUCUGACAGAAUUUAGAGUUUCCACUCUAUGUUUGAGAAUGUCAGAUAAGAACAAAGAUAUGUUUCCUUCAAAAAAUACUAAUUUAGUCGUCGUCGUUCUUUCACGAUUCAUUCUAGGUGCCACUAACUGCCGUUUAGUGGUGCUCAUUCUCCAGGCUUGCACAGAAGCCUCCCUGAGGGACUGCAAAAUCUACCUUAAGACUGGUGCUUUCACCCCUCCACUACCUUCCUUCAGACGUUUACGAAUAAACAACAGGUCAUCACCUGUCGUGGAAGAAGAAGAUAGACAGCUCCGGAUGGUUAAUAUGAAAGCAAAAACCUGAUUCCACACUGUACAAUUUCUCCAUUUAAGGGAUUUCCAGGAUGUAAUUUUGAAGAUGUUGAAGUUAUACAUACAGCUGGCUGUGUCAGGAAGGCGGGGUGCGGUGUGACAGAGACCAGUCAAGCCUAUUUGUCCAAGACCUCAGCGCACCUUUAAAGGCUGCAUGAGGAUGUCCAUGUUUCAAAAGAAUCACUCCUCCUAAAAGCCUUGUCGCUGGGAUCACGUACAUGCCCCAUCAGUCUUCUUCUUGACCAGAUCGGGGUCAUAUUGCGUUGGCAAGUAGUUCAUUUGUUUUAGCCACUUCGGAACGCUCUGUAAUGGGGUUGCUCAAGUGGAACCAUGUACAGUGGAGGGUUUAAAAAGCGCCAAUUUUUCUUGUAAUAGUGUUUUGAAAUCAAGGUAUUAAUAUUUUAUUUGUCUGACCUCAAGAAAUGAAAAGAUGUUUAUAUAAAGGUCACUGGAUGAAAGAUUAACACUGCAA